rnacentral:tRNA from 1 species
GGAGGGAUAAUUUAAUUGGAAAAAUAGCGGCCAGCUAGGCCGAAGAUGGGGGUUCGAGUCCUCUUCCCUUCU